rnacentral:rRNA from 1 species
AGCGAACGCUGGCGGCAGGCCUAACACAUGCAAGUCGAACGGACCCUUCGGGGUUAGUGGCGGACGGGUGAGUAACACGUGGGAACGUGCCUUUAGGUUCGGAAUAGCUCCUGGAAACGGGUGGUAAUGCCGAAUGUGCCCUUCGGGGGAAAGAUUUAUCGCCUUUAGAGCGGCCCGCGUCUGAUUAGCUAGUUGGUGAGGUAAGGGCUCACCAAGGCGACGAUCAGUAGCUGGUCUGAGAGGAUGACCAGCCACAUUGGGACUGAGACACGGCCCAAACCCCUACGGGAGGCAGCAGUGGGGAAUCUUGCGCAAUGGGCGAAAGCCUGACGCAGCCAUGCCGCGUGGAUGAUGAAGGUUUUAGGAUUGUAAAAUCCUUUCCCCGGUGAAGAUAAUGACUGUAGCCGGAGAAGAAGCCCCGGCUAACUUCGUGCCAGCCGCCGCCGUAA